UGGUAGGACAUUCUGUUAGGCAGUUGGCUUGGACUCUUCAAAAAUGUCAACAUUAUGAAAGCCAGACCAAAAAAGGAAAAAACCUCGGGCUGCUGAAACAAGCGUCACAAACCACGUGGCUUGAAACAACAGAGAUGUCUCGCUCAUCUCACCAUUUUGGAGGCUGAAGUCUGAAAUCAAGGUAUCGGCAUGGUCAGGCUCCUCCUGAAACCCGGAGGGGAGCAUCUUUCCUUGCCUCUUGCUGGAUUCGGAUGGGUUGCCAGCAGUCCUUGGCUCUCUGGGCUCACAGCUGCAGCCCUUCACAUUCUGCCUCCGUCUGUUACAUGGUGUUCUCCUCUCCUGUGUCUGUCCCAGGAUCCCUCCUCCUCUGGGAAGGACAGCAGUUGUAUUGGAUUGGGGCCACUCUAAUGAUCUCAUCUGAAGCCUGAUUACAUCUGCAGAGACCCUGUUUCCAAAUAAGGGUGCGUCCACAAGUGCUGGGGGAUUAAGGCUUUGACACAUUUUUCAGGGGAUGCAGUGCAACCCAUAACCCCUUCAUUCUUGUUUCUCUAACUCCCAACAUGUGUGGGGGACGCAGUGGACCCGAUCAACCAGAACGCACACUGAGGUCCCUUCUGAAGCUCAGAGUCUGAGGCUCUGGGUGUCCACUGUUCUAAGUUCAGACAUGAGUCAGCUUUGGGCAACUAAAGAGCCCAAGAGAGACGUGAUGAGAAGGAGGUUCCAGAUCAUUAUUAAACAGAUAAGAAGCGUGUCCCUUGGAAACAUGAUUCGUGUAUGUUCUUGGCAUAGCAGGGGCUGUUUUAUUUUGCUUGUCAUAGUCAUCCUUUUUGUCCUCAUUUUUAUUUGUUGAAUGAUUGUUUGUUAAAAGUUUUCUAAGCUGAAUUCCCAUCCUGUUACCCAUAAAAUUGCAUAAAGUGAGAUGCUAGAGUUAAAAAAAAAAUAACUGUCACAUCACAACUGAUAUUAGAGAUUGGCAAGGCUGCCAGCUGGAACAGACUAACAAGGAAAAUCAAGAUUCCUCUCUCCGUCUUUGUCCUUCAGGCUAAAAAAAGGCAGGAUAAGAAGAGAGAAUGUUCUGUAAUGAGUAAGGGUGGCCAUGCCUCGUGAUGGGUCAGCCCUGCGUGUCUGGAGGAGGACUCUCUUUGAGGCCCAGGCGGUGGGCUGGGGGCAGGGGGUGGAGGACGGCAAGUGGAGGAGGGUAGGGGGAGCGUAAAUCGAGAUGAGAACCACCAACGGUCUCCUGAUGUCUCUGUGCUUCAAAGAAAAAACUGUGUCACAGCCGCAGGAGGGGAAGGCACUGAUCGCAGAGUUGAAAGAGGACAUUUUCCCAGAGCUGCAGGCCCACAGUCCUCAGCGUGACUGAUGCACAAAGCUGCGUCUGCCUCCCUCCUGCGUCUCCCCACACGUGACUUAAGGUGGAUGCCAGAUGUGUAAACCAGGGCAGGGCUGUGUCCCAUCUAUUAGAAAUCUCUGACUUGUGGGCAUGAAACAAAAACGUCAGCCAAAGGGAAUCUUCUCCAAAAUCCAAUUGCACUAUUUUCUUCCCUGGCUUUCAGAGAUCAUCUGGAUAAACCAUGGGUGAUUUAAUUAUACUGUCAUUAUGAAAGCAGGUUCUGUCACUUGCUGUCAGUGCCAGGUAAAAACACUUGGAAUUCACACUGCGUCCUUAUUACUGUGGUCUUCCUUUGCCGCUCUUCAGCAAUGGGCGUUAUGGAUUUGUCAGCAUUUCCGGUGUUAGCUCUUAUUUUCAAGGCUUCUGCCUUAGUUGCUGAAAUUGCAUUGUCCUGGAUGGGAGCCUGGAGGUAAUUUCCUUUAGUGUUUCAGUGGCUGCAGUCUUUUAUGGCUGUGUGUGACUGUGCAAGUGAUUUCAAUAUCUUUUUAUUAAAAGAUUAAUUCAUGC